GACAGAGGGUGCAAACGUUGUUCGGAAUUACUGGGCGUAAAGCGCACGUAGGCGGAUAUUUAAGUCAGGGGUGAAAUCCCAGAGCUCAACUCUGGAACUGCCUUUGAUACUGGGUAUCUGGAGUAUGGAAGAGGUGAGUGGAAUUCCGAGUGUAGAGGUGAAAUUCGUAGAUAUUCGGAGGAACACCAGUGGCGAAGGCGGCUCACUGGUCCAUUACUGACGCUGAGGCACGAAAGCGUGGGGAGCAAACAGGG
rnacentral:rRNA from 1 species